rnacentral:rRNA from 1 species
UACAGAGGUCCCAAGCGUUGUUCGGAUUCAUUGGGCGUAAAGGGUGCGUAGGCGGCGCGGUAAGUCGGGUGUGAAAUCUCGGGGCUUAAACUCCGAAACUGCAUUCGAUACUGCCGUGCUUGAGGACUGGAGAGGAGACUGGAAUUUACGGUGUAGCGGUGAAAUGCGUAGAGAUCGGGAAGAACAUCAGUGGCGAAGGCGGUCGUGCUGGGCCGUUGCUGACGCUGAGGCGCGACAGCGUGGGGAGCGAACAGG